rnacentral:rRNA from 1 species
AAGGGGCAAGCCUAAUACAUGCAAGUCGAGCGAAUGGAUUAAGAGCUUGCUCUUAUGAAGUUAGCGGCGGACGGGUGAGUAACACGUGGGUAACCUGCCCAUAAGACUGGGAUAACUCCGGGAAACCGGGGCUAAUACCGGAUAACAUUUUGAACUGCAUGGUUCGAAAUUGAAAGGCGGCUUCGGCUGUCACUUAUGGAUGGACCCGCGUCGCAUUAGCUAGUUGGUGAGGUAACGGCUCACCAAGGCAACGAUGCGUAGCCGACCUGAGAGGGUGAUCGGCCACACUGGGACUGAGACACGGCCCAGACUCCUACGGGAGGCAGCAGUAGGGAAUCUUCCGCAAUGGACGAAAGUCUGACGGAGCAACGCCGCGUGAGUGAUGAAGGCUUUCGGGUCGUAAAACUCUGUUGUUAGGGAAGAACAAGUGCUAGUUGAAUAAGCUGGCACCUUGACGGUACCUAACCAGAAAGCCACGGCUAACUACGUGCCAGCAGCCGCGGUAAUACGUAGGUGGCAAGCGUUAUCCGGAAUUAUUGGGCGUAAAGCGCGCGCAGGUGGUUUCUUAAGUCUGAUGUGAAAGCCCACGGCUCAACCGUGGAGGGUCAUUGGAAACUGGGAGACUUGAGUGCAGAAGAGGAAAGUGGAAUUCCAUGUGUAGCGGUGAAAUGCGUAGA